UCAAAGAUGGGAUUUCUGAAC
rnacentral:miRNA from 1 species